ensembl:lncRNA
UUUGUGAAUGUUCUUAAGAAACAUUUUUAGAAUUUCUUUUUUUCCACCAAAAAAUGUUCAAAAAUUUCCCAGAAAUGUUGAAAAUGUGGACAUCAGAAGUUUCACUGUGAAAAUAUUUUUUUUUUCACAUUUUCAAACUUUAAAACGAGUCAAUUUUACCCGCAGGGCGACACGAGGGUUGAACUUCUUGUUUAGACUAAAAGAGAAGCUGGAAGAGCUGCUAGUUCAUGGAGGAAAGAGGUGCUUAUUUAGUCAGUCUGACAACUAGCAGCACUCAUUUUUAUCAUUCAUUCAUUGCUACAGGACAUGAAGUUCAUGUGCUCAGAUGUGAGGUAGGCAGAAGUUAGCAUCAGAUUAGUGAUCAGCCACCAUUACUUCACACUUAGUGGCUCAUCAGUUUGUAAUGUUAAUUCAGUUGUCACAUACACGACCAGUCAAAAGUUUCAAUGUUUUUUUUUUAUUUUCUACAUUGCUGAUUAAUACUGAAGGCAUCAGAACUAUAAAGGAACAAAUCUGGAAUUAUGUUGUAAACAAAAACAGGUUAAUCUUCAGUAUUAAUCUACAAUGUAGAAAAUAAUACAGAUAAAUAAAAAGCACUGAAUGAGAAGGUGUGUCCAGACUUUUGACUGAUAGUCUACAUGAACUGAUAUGAAACCAAGCUAGCUGGAUUUCCACUGCGGUUCAUUUAUAUAACUGUGUUUAUGUUUUAUUGUGUAACAUUUUGCAUGUGCCGGCCAGUUUGAUUUCAAAGAAACUGCUUAUUUCUGUGAAUAAUGGUACUGUUCCUCUGUGGUCUGAGAAUCAGGUUCUAUGUAGCUGAAAUCCAGCUUGGCUACAUGUCAGAUUAUCUGAACUCUGAGUUAACAUUCCUAAACUGAUGAUCCGUUAUGUGUGGAUUUAUCACAUAAAAUCACUUCAUUCAGAACAGCAGAAAUUCAUGAUACACCCUGCAUUAAUUCAUGCAUUAAAUCAGAAGAAAUCAUGCAGUAAUUCAGCGUUUAUUUAGUUUUCUCUACUGUAAUGAAAAUGCACCAAACUGUACAUUUUAAAACAGAAUAAUUUACUGUGAGAGAGUCACAAGCAUAAAUUAGACGUACGUAAUUAUACUCUGAUAUCUGUACGUAGUUGAACAUUUUCUACAAAUGAAAUUCUCCAGUCAAUAAAGAUUUUUCAUAUGAAAAAGUAAUAAACAAAGGAUAGAUUUCUAUCUUUGAACUCGUUGCUGCCAGUAAAAUGUCAUGUUUUACUGUCCCUCCUACAAACACAUACUGCCAUGAAACUAGAGGCUAGAACCUGCAGAUUUUAAAGCUGCGCGGUAAUUUGCUUUGCUGCCUUUAUUUUGUUUAAAACCACGGUAGUUUUUGAAUAAUGAUGUCCUUGAAAUUUUAAAACUAUGCUAUCUAAAUGUGUUGCACUGUUUUACUGUCAUAGGUAUUACAGCUUAUUUGCACAAGCAAUAAAUCAUUGGUUUAUUUAUGACCAUUAUAUUUUUAUGAGACAUAUCAGGCUGGUUUUUAAGUCUGAAGUUUUCUAGGUUCACCGGAGUGUUGGAAAAUAUAAACAUAAUAUGAUAAAAUCUGUCAGCAUAAACUCCAUCAGCUUCAUAAACAUCAGCAGGUUGCUUAGCUGGACUCCUGGAGGACAGUGUUUAGUUCCUAAGAUCUUUAAAAACCAGCUUCUUUUACUUGUAGUUUUUAGCCAACAGUAACCAGGAUGGAGCCAAAGACAUUUUACACAGACGAUGAAGUCCAAACAACUAAAUCUGUACUUCUGAGUUUCUGCAUUAAGCCGCUAUUGAGUCAAAGACAUGAAUGAAACAUGAGUCAGCUCUGUCUUUGGACCCGACUAAAAGGAACCAAGUUUAUUGUUUACAUGAUCUUUCAGAGGUGAGAUCACUGCAGUGCAUGUGACUGAAGCUGAAGAUGUCCACCUCAGGUCUUCUCUGUGGAACAGCACUGCUCUUGUGAAAAGUAUGUGAGUUACCAAUGUGCCACUGCUAGUUAAUUGUGUGUUUUGGGGAAUAUUUAUUGAAGAAGUUGCUUUCUGUGCUAAGUUUUCACUGUCAGGACAUAGUAGUAAAACUGUAUUUGAUUGGAGCAAACAAGAUGAAGGAGUUUAAACUGUUUAGUUGAUUGCAUGUAAACAUGGAUCUUUGGUCCUCUGAUCUUUGUUAAAUUUUUCUUAAAGCUGUUGAAUAUAAAAAGAAUAAACAUUCUUUUCAUUGUUAUGCA